UACGGAGGGGACUAGCGUUGUUCGGAAUUACUGGGCGUAAAGCGCACGUAGGCGGAUUUGUAAGUCAGGGGUGAAAUCCCGGGGCUCAACCUCGGAACUGCCUUUGAUACUGCCAAUCUUGAGUCCGGAAGAGGUGAGUGGAAUUCCUAGUGUAGAGGUGAAAUUCGUAGAUAUUAGGAAGAACACCAGUGGCGAAGGCGGCUCACUGGUCCGGUACUGACGCUGAGGUGCGAAAGCGUGGGGAGCAAACAGG
rnacentral:rRNA from 1 species